rnacentral:rRNA from 1 species
GACGAACGCUGGCGGCGUGCCUAAUACAUGCAAGUCGAACGCACUCUCGUUUAGAUUGAAGGAGCUUGCUCCUGAUUGAUAAACAUUUGAGUGAGUGGCGGACGGGUGAGUAACACGUGGGUAACCUGCCCUAAAGUGGGGGAUAACAUUUGGAAACAGAUGCUAAUACCGCAUAAAACCUAACACCGCAUGGUGUAGGGUUGAAAGAUGGUUUCGGCUAUCACUUUAGGAUGGACCCGCGGUGCAUUAGUUAGUUGGUGAGGUAAAGGCUCACCAAGACCGUGAUGCAUAGCCGACCUGAGAGGGUAAUCGGCCACACUGGGACUGAGACACGGCCCAGACUCCUACGGGAGGCAGCAGUAGGGAAUCUUCCACAAUGGACGAAAGUCUGAUGGAGCAACGCCGCGUGAGUGAAGAAGGUUUUCGGAUCGAAUAAC